rnacentral:rRNA from 1 species
UGGGGAAUAUUGCACAAUGGGGGAAACCCUGAUGCAGCGACGCCGCGUGAACGAAGAAGGUAUUCGUAUCGUAAAGUUCUGUCCUAUGGGAAGAUAAUGACAGUACCAUAGAAGAAAGCUCCGGCUAAAUACGUGCCAGCAGCCGUGGUAAUACGUAUGGAGCGAGCGUUGUCCGGAAUUAUUGGGCGUAAAGGGUACGCAGGCGGUUUAAUAAGUCGAAUGUUAAAGAUCGGGGCUCAACCCCGCAAAGCAUUGGAAACUGAUAAACUUGAGUAGUGGAGAGGAAAGUGGAAUUCCUAGUGUAGUGGUGAAAUACGUAGAUAUUAGGAGGAAUACCAGUAGCGAAGGCGACUUUCUGGACACAAACUGACGCUGAGGUACGAAAGCGUGGGGAGCAAACAGG